AAAUUGAAGAGUUUGAUCAUGGCUCAGAUUGAACGCUGGCGGCAGGCCUAACACAUGCAAGUCGAGCGGAAACGAGUUGUCUGAACCUUCGGGGAACGAUAACGGCGUCGAGCGGCGGACGGGUGAGUAAUGCCUAGGAAAUUGCCCUGAUGUGGGGGAUAACCAUUGGAAACGAUGGCUAAUACCGCAUGAUGCCUACGGGCCAAAGAGGGGGACCUUCGGGCCUCUCGCGUCAGGAUAUGCCUAGGUGGGAUUAGCUAGUUGGUGAGGUAAGGGCUCACCAAGGCGACGAUCCCUAGCUGGUCUGAGAGGAUGAUCAGCCACAC
rnacentral:rRNA from 1 species